AUUGAACGCUGGCGGCAUGCCUAACACAUGCAAGUCGAACGGCAGCACGGCAGUAGCAAUACUGUGGGUGGCGAGUGGCGGACGGGUGAGGAAUACGUCGGAAUCUGCCCAGUCGUGGGGGAUAACUAGCCGAAAGGUUAGCUAAUACCGCAUACGACCGAGAGGUGAAAGCGGGGGACCGCAAGGCCUCGCGCGAUUGGAUGAGCCGACGUCGGAUUAGCUAGUUGGUGGGGUAAAGGCCCACCAAGGCGACGAUCCGUAGCUGGUCGUGAGAGGAUGAUCAGCCACACUGGAACUGAGACACGGUCCAGACUCCUA
rnacentral:rRNA from 1 species